CUAAUAUGGAACACAAAGAUCUUCUCACAUUGCAGCUGCUCCCAUAUAUCCAUUGAUAUAUGCCUCUAACUCCAGACCUUUUUGUCCUUAAUCUUCUAAUCCGGUUAUCUCUUUUCCUUUAGUGCAAUUUUUCCUUAUUUGUUUGUUUUGUUUUUUUUUUUAAGUAAAUAGCUAGGCUUCUAAGCCCUACCACAGAGAGUCAACAGACAAACUGCCCAGGGAAAAGUUAUGACCUCAGGCAAAGUGAAUUUCUACAGCUAAGGCAGAUCCUGAAGAAGCUCACAAAUAAAGGCUGCAUACUCACACAUUCCCUGAAGCUUGACAGUGCCAGCCACCAUACUGUGAGGGAGCUGAAGUAAGCCCACAUGAGGAAGAAUUGAGGUCCCAAGCCAACAGCUGCAGCUAAGAUCCAAGCUCUCAACCAGUACCAGUUCAUCCGUUAUGCACACUAAGAUAUGGAAGCUAAAAGAGGACUAAGAGGAUUCUGGGGAUAUUACAAGAUAUUGCAGACUAUCUUGUUUUCCUGGAAAAGGAUUUUACCUCAGUCGACUGAAUUACUUUUUUCACUGUGUCUUGCCACUCUUCGUGCAUGCAUCAAAGACCCUAAUAUGACUUCUGGUGGCCUGGGACUCCUUGGGAAAACAGAAAAGGGGCCACAAAUCCCAUUUUGGGAACAAUCUGUUUUACUCAUGGAACCCCUGGAAUUAGAGGUGUGUAAGUACCUCUCAAAAUCUGUCUUUGUCUUCUGGCUAUGCUUUUUAUGAGGCCCUGGAAUUUGUAGUCCUAGCCCUGUUCUUAGAGUGUCUCACUAGGAGGCGUAAUAAUCCAAUUAGGAAACUAGCCAAUGAAAAAUCUCAUAACUACUGGAUCUUCUUCUGUUUAUCUGUGUGGUUACAUAUGUGUUAUGUGUGUAAUAUCUAUUAAAAAGGGCUCUAAUUAAUUGGCCUAAGAACAGUAAGCACUUAAAUAAAAUAUUUUUAAGGGAAAAGUAAAAGCUGUGUUACUUUUCAG
rnacentral:lncRNA from 1 species